AUCGAACGCUGGCGGCAGGCCUAACACAUGCAAGUCGAGCGGAUGAAGGGAGCUUGCUCCUGGAUCCAGCGGCGGACGGGUGUGUAAUGCCUAGGAAUCUGCCUGGUUGUGGGGGAUAACGUCCGGAAACGGGCGCUAAUAACGCAUACGACCUGCGGGAGAUAGUGGGGGAUCUUUGGACAUUACGCUAUCAGAGGAGUCUAGGUCGGAUUAGCUAGUUGGUGGGGUAAAGGCCUACUAAGGCGACGAUCCGCAACUGGUCUGAGAGGAUGAUCAGUCACCUUGGAAGGGGAACACGGCCCGUACGCCUACGGGAGGCACCAGAGGGGAACAUUGGACAAUGGGCGAAAGCCUGAUCCAGCGAGGCCGCGUGUGUGAAGAAGGUCUUCGGAUUGUAAAGCACGUUAUGUUGGGAGAAAGGGCAGUAAGUUGAUACCUUGCUGUUUUGACGUUACCAACAGAAUAAGCACCGGCUAACUUCGUG
rnacentral:rRNA from 1 species